UGGGGAAUCUUAGACAAUGGGCGCAAGCCUGAUCUAGCCAUGCCGCGUGAUCGAUGAAGGCCUUAGGGUUGUAAAGAUCUUUCAGGUGGGAAGAUAAUGACGGUACCACCAGAAGAAGCCCCGGCUAACUCCGUGCCAGCAGCCGCGGUAAUACGGAGGGGGCUAGCGUUAUUCGGAAUUACUGGGCGUAAAGCGCACGUAGGCGGACUGGAAAGUCAGGGGUGAAAUCCCGGGGCUCAACCCCGGAACUGCCUUUGAAACUCCCAGUCUUGAGGUCGAGAGAGGUGAGUGGAAUUCCGAGUGUAGAGGUGAAAUUCGUAGAUAUUCGGAGGAACACCAGUGGCGAAGGCGGCUCACUGGCUCGAUACUGACGCUGAGGUGCGAAAGCGUGGGGAGCAAACAGG
rnacentral:rRNA from 1 species